AAAUCCUUUGCAGACGACUUAGCUGUGCGAAACGGUCCUGUAAGCAGUAGAGUAGCCUUGUUGUUACGAUCUGCUGAGGGUAAGCCGUCCUUCGCCUAGAUUUCU
rnacentral:ncRNA from 1 species